AGUGAACGCUGGCGGCGUGCUUAACACAUGCAAGUCGAACGAGAACGGGUUAUAGCUUGCUAUAACUGUCAGCUAAGUGGCGCACGGGUGAGUAAUGUAUAGUUAACCUGCCCUCUAGAAAGGAAUAACAGUUGGAAACGACUGCUAAUGCCCUAUAUGCCUUUAAGACAUAAGUCUGCAAGGGAAACGCUUUAGUGCUAGAGGAUGGGACUGUAUGGUAUCAGCUAGUUGGUGAGGUAAAGGCUCACCAAGGCAAUGACGCCUAACUGGUUUGAGAGGAUGAUCAGUCACACUGGAACUGAGACACGGUCCAGACUCCUACGGGAGGCAGCAGUGGGGAAUAUUGCACAAUGGAGGAAACUCUGAUGCAGCAACGCCGCGUGGAGGAUGACACUUUUCGGAGCGUAAACUCCUUUUAUAUAGGAAGAUAAUGACGGUACUAUAUGAAUAAGCACCGGCUAACUCCGUGCCAGC
rnacentral:rRNA from 1 species